rnacentral:ncRNA from 1 species
AAUAGUAGAGGUUGCGUUACUUAUGAGUACAUUAGAGGAUGCCCCGGCGGCAGAUGAAUUUAGUGGAAAGGAGGCAGCGCCGAAGGGAUAAAUUGCCGGAUAUUUAUUUCUGGGCAUAUGGAUAACAUCCAUGUGACUGUCAUCAAAUAGGUGGAGUGCUAGUUGAUGGAGAGCUAC